rnacentral:rRNA from 1 species
UACGAAGGGGGCUAGCGUUGUUCGGAAUUACUGGGCGUAAAGCGCGCGCAGGCGGUUCUUCAAGUCAGUGGUGAAAGCCCGGAGCUCAACUCCGGAACUGCCAUUGAAACUGUAGAACUUGAGGAUGAGAGAGGUGAGUGGAAUUCCCAGUGUAGAGGUGAAAUUCGUAGAUAUUGGGAAAGAACACCGGUGGCGAAGGCGGCUCACGUCGGCUCAUUUCGACGCUCCAGG